UUGAGACUGGUUUCUAAAGUGCUCCACCUCCAGUCAUUAGAUGGGGGGCUACAGCUUGGAGAACACACAGUUCUGAGUUCAACUGCGGACGGGAUAAUGAAGGGCAGCUGCAGAAGGAGGUAGAGCUGCAGAUUUGGAGCCCCUGGACCUGAGAGGCUUCAAUAAUUGUUACCUGAGUUGGACUGAAUUGAAAUAAAGAAGCAAAGAUCCUACAUCAUCUAUUGAAAUCUUUAAAGGG